rnacentral:pre_miRNA from 1 species
GUAGUACUCCCUCCAUCCCAAAAUUCUUGUCUUACAUUUGUUUAGAUACAGAUGUAUCUAACACUAAAAUGUAACUAGAUACAUCCGUAUUUAGACAAAUUUAAGACAAGAAUUUUGGGACGAAGGGAGUACAAA